rnacentral:rRNA from 1 species
UACCAGCUCUCCGAGUGGUAGGGAUGAUUAUUGGGCUUAAAGCGUCCGUAGCCGGCUUGGCGAGUCUCCUGUUAAAUUCAGCGACCUAAUCGUUGACCCGCGGGAGAUACUACUAGGCUAGGAGGCGGGAGAGGCCGACGGUACUUCCGGGGUAGGGGUGAAAUCCUAUAAUCCCGGGAGGACCACCAGUGGCGAAGGCUGUCGGCUAGAACGCGCUCGACGGUGAGGGACGAAAGCUGGGGUAGCGAACCGGAUUAGAUACCCGGGUAGUCCCAGCUGUAAACUAUGCGGGCUAGGUGUUGGGGUGGCUACGAGCCACUUCAGUGCCGCAGGUAAGCCAUUAAGCCCGCCGCCUGGGGAGUACGGCCGCAAGGCUGAAACUUAGAGGAAUUGGCGGGGAGCACCACAAGGCGUGAAGCUUGCGGUUC